GCUCCAAAACUACACGGAAAAACCCUGUCUUGAAAAACAAAAACAAAUAAAUAAAUAAAAGGCCAGGUGUGUAAUAAUUACAUUCUUGUUUCUCAAAAUUGCAACCACUAGAAGUUCAAAUCAGGGUACGAGCACAUUGGGGUCUGGUGAGGGUCCAUCCAGAACCUUCCAGAACACUAAGUGCUGGCUUCCCAUGAUACCUUUUCAUGGAAUGAAAGAGUAAGAAAGUUUCCUACAGAGCCUUUUUUUUUCCUUCAGGGCACAAACCCCACUCAUGAGGGCUCUACUCUCACAACGUAACCAGUCUCCUAAUACUGUCUGCGGUGGUGUGAAUGAGAAUGUUUCCUACAGGCUCACAUAUUUGAACACUUGGCACCAAGUUGGUGCUGCUGUUCGGAGAGGUUACAGAGCUUUUAGGAGGUGGAAGAAGUAUAUCAUUGUGGGUAGACGUUGGGGUUUAGAGCCUUACCCCUUUUCCUGUUCUCUCCCCUUCUUUCCUGUGUGUGGAUAAGACGUGAUGAGCCAGCUUCCUGCUCCAUGCCAUGCCUUCCCAACCAUAGUGCGCUCUUUCUCCCUCUGGAACCAAAAGCCCAAAGGAACUCUUCCUUAAGUUGCUUUUGGUCUUGAUAUUUUAUCACAGCAACAAAAAGUAACUGGCAGUCUAUCCCUUGGCUGGGGGAAAUACGGGUGGUGUGAGAGUAGCAUAUCCACCCAUAGGUUCAGGAGGGAGGCGCUAUCCAGCUCACACCAACCUUGAUGAUGGAUAGAGGUGAACCGUGAGAUCUAAUAGGAAUGCCGUGUUUCACCGCCAGGUAGACAAGCUCCAUCACAAGUAACAUUUGAUCAAGAAAGGCUUGUGCAAGCUGAGGUUGGAAGCUGGGUUAGGAAGAGGAUUGUGCUUUGGCGAAGAGCUAGGUGAUAGUCUUCCUGCGAUAGUCUUACUGUGUGUUCUUCAUCAUGGCAUCAGUCUGAUGAGCCAGGAGAGUCACACCACAGAGAAGAAAACUCCCGAAGCAUUUCUCCCAGGAUUUUCCUCCCCUGUGCCCUUUGUUUCCUGCUUAUGACUUUGCAGUCACUCUGCUCAUGAAAACCAGAGGUGCCAGGGCAGCUUUGGGGUACAAAAGGGUUGGGAGCAAGGUUUUGUUGGUCAUUGGUUAAGAAAAGCAUAGACAACUUGAAUCUGGAAAGCCAGAAGUUCAGAAGCAGAGCUCAGAGGUCUGAAGGGAGGAGGAACUGUCGUCAGAGACCUAUUCCAAAUAGGAGUUGGAAUUCCCAGUCGUGGAAGCAGGGGGACGGGGCCCACAGGUUUCAGAUGGCUUUGGAGCUGACUUAGGAGAUCUGGAGCCUGUAUCUCUUGGAGAUGGCUCUCAUUGUGGCACUGGGUUCUAUUACACCUGCUCCAGCUUCCAAUCUUUAAAACAUAAGCCUAUUUUGUGAUCAUAAAGCUCACACAUGCUCAACAUGAAAAAUUCAGAAAGGCAGAGGAAUAUAAAGAUGAAAUGACCUGUAAUCUCACCGCACAGGAAAGCUAAUGUUAGCAUUGACUGCGAUUCUAGUCAGCCUUCCUCCUAUGUAUAUGAUUACAUACAUAAGGUGAUUCUGUCUAUACGGUUUAAUUUUGCAUGCUGAUUUUUUUUACUUAAAUGAUAAUAUAAUCAUUUCCCCAUGUUAUUAAGAGUUCUCUGUAAUUAAGCAUCAUUUAAAAUGACAUUUUCCCCUGGUUUUAAGCACAUCUGGACCAAUUUCUACCAAUUAAUGAAAAUCCCUAGAGAGACCUUUUUUGGGGCUGGUGAAUAGGGUAUUCCCAAAGGUGAGGGUUUCUCAGGGGCCUGUGAAUGAUAACCACUGUGAAGGACUUCCUCUCACAAAGAUUUCCCAUAUUACCAACCACUGAUACCAGGGAGGAUCAGAGGAUGACAACCAGCACCUUUACUGUGAAAAGCAAAAAUAGCCUAAGCCUGUGCAUGUGUGAAGCCUGGGUUUACCUCCAGCACUGGGGGAAGAAUGAUAUGCCUUUCCUGUCUACACAUCACUGUUUGAUACUUGAAAGAACCACUGUGGUAGUCCAGAGGGCUGCCAAAGCAAAACUCCACAGACUGGGUAGUUUAAAUAACAGCAAUUCUUCAUGGUUCUAGAAGCUGCCAGUACAAGACCAAUGUGUCAGCAAGUUUGGUUUCUGAUUGAGUUUUUUCCUUAGGCUGUGCACAGCUACCUUCUUGCUGAAUCUCCACUUGGUCUCUCCUGAUUUGUUUAUUUAGGGGUGCUGGGAGUCUGACCCGGGUCCCUGAACAGGUAAGUCAAGUGCUUUACCAUCAAGCUCAGCCCUGGUCCUGAAUAUCCUCGUGUUGGGUGAGACCCCACCCUAAGGCCUUCAUUUUAACUACACUAUCUCUUGAAAGCCCUUCUCUGUAAAUACUGUUGUUUUCUGAGACACUGGGGGUUAGGACUUCCACAUGCAUUAGCUUGGGGGUACAUAAGUCAACCCUUAACUACAGUUUUUCAGUGAAAUAGGAGUACUUAGGGGCUCUAGGUUUGAGGAACCCCAGCCAUGAUAGCUGCUGGUAAACAAACACUCACCUCCCAGCAAACAAUGCCAUCAGCACUGACAGUCAGCGCUGUCAGGAAUCUGCACUUUCCUGGCAUCCAACAAGUCACCAGCUGCGCAGGCACCGAUUGCCUGAAAGACAGGAGGCCUCAGUCCUCGGGGAAAUUCAUGAAAUCAAAUUGCUCUGGGACUGUGGCCCAAGAGGGCAAGGAAGGAUCUGCCGAGGUCUGAGGGAAGAGUCCUCUAAAGACGUUGUCUUGAAAGCCAGGCUGCUCAAAGGGUGCCUUUAUUGCAUUUUUGUGUGUAUUUUUCUGUAUCUAGACUCUAGUGCUCAGCAUCUUUUUAUAUGUGGUCAUUUAUUAUGGAGAAUUUUCAGUUGCAUCUCAAAGGUACUUUUUUUUUUUUGCUCCCUAUCCAAAAGGACAUUCUGAAAUUUAAAAGUGAGGCCCUUUCAGGCAUUCACCCCCACUCCACCAAAUUCUAAGAUUUUUGAAGACAACUCUAGUAGGUUGUAUUCCCUUUUUCGAAAUAGUCCAAGCUUCUUACCCACAUACCCCGCAGUCCCAGCCUAUGGAAGGAAUGCAGGUGGUAGAUGGAAGCGAGCUGCAUCCAUGUGGGGCAGUUUCGUUCACCCUCUUUCUUUUCCCUCUCCAUGCUUUAGAUCACAUCUGCUUCCUCAGUGCUGGCCUCAGACUGAAGACAACGGGGGCAGCGCCACCGCAGCAGACUUCUGAUGGACAAGAGGCGACACUCAAGUCCAGAAGGUCACAAGGGCACCUGGGUGGUGUGGAGAUUGCAAUCCUCCUGCCUCGGCGGUUCAAGAGCUAGAAUGAUGGUUGUGCAGCACCAGGCCCGGCACUGCAGAUGCAUUUGAACAAGACGGUACAGGAAUUGUUUUCAGGAAACACAGCCAUCAUCACCUCCGAGAGGCAAGUUAGCGGUUGUUAUUUUCCAUUUACGGAUGGGCAAAUGGAAGCCUUCUUUCUCAUUUACCAAUUACUCCGCUCAAAGAAAUGUCUGAGGAGUUUUAUGGGCUCCCAAGGUAUGAAAGACGGGUUCUCACUCUGAAGAAGGUCGUACUCCUCCUAUGAAUGAAGAGACGUUUGCACGUGCACGCAACCGUGAUUCGGGGGCCUAGGAUGUGAAGUGCGCGCGGGAAGGGUCCUAGCAGAUAUUCCAAAUGGACUAUGAAAGGUGAAAGAGCGUUGUCCGGCCCCCAGGAUUGCGGGUGUCGGCGUGCCAUUUGAGAUGAAGAGAGUCUGUGCUGUUUGUUGUUCGUCUGGCCUCUGUCAGUUUCUUGCGACUGCUGUAACAGAUUAGAACAAACUGGUUGACUUACAGCAACAGAACUGGAUUUGCUCACAGUUCUGGAGGCCCCAGGUCUGACAUGAAGAUUCGGGCAGGGUCAGCACCUCUUGAGGCUUGAGCGGAGGGGAGAUAAUCUGUCCCUGGCUUCUCCCAGUUACUGAUAGCCUCAGGCUUCCUUUGGCUCCUGGCCACUCCAGUCCAAGCUGUUUCUGUGGUCACAUGGCCUCCUUGUCUACUGUGGUACAAGUCCCCUGCUACUACUCCCUUGUAAGAAUGUGUGUGGCUGCACUGAGGACCCACCCAGAAAUGUGGGAUGAGCCUCUUCUCUCAUGACCCUCAAUUGCAGUCUUAUCUUUUGUCACAGGAUGUAGUAAGUACCCUUGGGUUCUGGAGAUAGGCAGCGGACAUUUAUGGGGGAGAGGGGGAAGGAAGCCACCAUACUGUUCUCUGCCCUGGGCUGUAUUAGAUAACCUGUUAUUCCCAUGCUAUACCACCUGGCUUCCAUUGCCCUCUGGCUAACCCUUGCCCUCCAGCGGGAGAUAUUAGGAAGGAUCCGAGAGUAGGAGGAAGACCCUGAGGUUUCUCUCUUCUUUCUUUAGCAGGAUGCUUGUGACGCUCCGGGAAAAUCAUGUUCUCCACAGUUCCUGUUCUUCCAGGCUUCCAUUCCCCCUCCUCUGCAGCCCUGGCUUCUUCCACUGCUAACCUGUGAGUGCCUACCUAACACCCUAACCACCCAUCGCUCUGCCUCCUGUCAUGUGAAAAUGUCCCAGCCACCUUAUUUUCAAAGUCUCAGUUGACAGUGUCUUCAGGUUCCUGCCAUGAUCUGGGUUGAUAGAAAUCUCAAGAGGUGACAUUUUCAUUUCUAGAACAGAGCUAAACUCAGGGUACCACGAGCUAAGUUGAGGCAAUGGCCAGUGGGCACUGGAUCUGGCAUACAGCUCAGCUGUCCCUGUGGGCCCUCCGGUAGUGAAGUGCUGUUCCUCUACCCUACUAAUGUCUUGCUGUCGUGCCUCAUACCUCUGGUGGCCUUGCUUCGUGGUACUUUCUAUUAUCUUUUUUCUGCCUCUCCGCCUCUGUUACCCAAUGGUGUCUGCUGCCCCCGACCGUGGCCAUCCUCUUCCGUGUGUGUACUGUUUAGGUUCUGCCACAACAACAGCUGACUCCCUCGGGUGCAUCUCAUACCCUGUUCCUUAAAGGGGGCCAACUGGCUUGAUCGACAACAGUUUACAGAAGACCUGCAGUGCCAGGCUUCUGCUGUUGUUACGGAGCCACCAGAGAGUGGUUUUGGGAGGAUCUCUGGGCAUCGUUUUCCCAACAAGGAGAGUUACGAAAGGUUUUUGAACAUGGUGGAGCAAGAUAGAAUUAGUCUUAGGACUACUCACAGUUAUUGUGAAAACAAAGAUAAAUUAAAAAGCAACUCUAAUAGUCUAAAUGAGAAUAAUGGGGACCCAAGCCUGGGCAAGGGGAAGGCUCCUGUAAGACACCCAGGAAAGGAGGGAUGCAAGAGCGAGGCCAGUUUGAGUUCCUGGCUUUGAAUUUUUCAUUUCUUUUUCUUUUUUCUUCUCAU